CCAAAUUUAGACUCAGUAUUUAUAUUUUUAAUUGACAUUUGGACUUCUCCUAAUCACCUCGGUUACAUAGCCGGGGUAUUU
rnacentral:ncRNA from 1 species